GAAGGUAGGUGAUCCAGCUGUGACAUCCGUCACCCCAAGGAUCUGCAUGCAGUCUGGACAGGCUGACAUGGCUGGCGAGGUGUCUCUUCCUCCCUGACUGCUUCAUAUGCAUCUCUCUGAAACUACACAAAGAGGACGCCUCUCCUGGAUGGAGGAGUACUGUCCUGCAGUCAAAGGUAAAUGGCUAGCCUCCUCCCCUGCAAGAGUCUCCAAACAAGCUUUGGAGAAAAACCAUUUGCAACAGGAGAAACUCAGGACAUUCAACUUCAGUGCCCACACCUGGAGCUUUAUUAGACAGCUUGCCCCACUGA
rnacentral:snRNA from 1 species